rnacentral:lncRNA from 1 species
UAUAUACAAAAUGAUUAUAAUGCUAUACAUGCCAUACUCAAAAUAUACAAGCCAUUAUGCCAAGAUGGUAUACGGAUAGUGUGAGUGGGCCUCCGACCGUUCCCGAUUUCCGAGCUAGCUUGUCAAAACUAUAAGGAAUGAAAAGGAGGGAGUAAGCAUAAAUGCUUAGUAAGUCCAUAUGAAAUUAAUAAGCAAUUACCAACAUGCUUUUAAGAUAAAACACCACAAUUGUACAAUUUCUAAUGAUUUUUUAAAAUUAGAAUAGGGGAUCUCGAAGUCAUUUAAACUCUGUCUCACAACAAUUUAAAUAUCUUAUAACAUAAAAUCCAAUUGCAUGCACCGUUUCCUCUAUAUGAAACUAGACUCAUCAGGCUUUAAUCUCAUAUUUAUUCAGCCCUUAACUCAAUUUCCACAAUUUAUGGUGAAUUUCAAAAGUUACACUACUGCAGUAAUCCAAAACUGCCAAGGCCAUAUUUAUUCAUUCACCACUAUUAUUCACUAAAUCCAUACAAUAUCAUUUCAUCCAUCAUGGUAAGAACACAUAAUUAUGCUUCAUAAGCAUAGAUCCAUAAUCUCAAUGUCAUCGAGUAUCAAGAACUUAUUCCAAAUCGUGUCAUUUUCAUAGUAUUCACCAAUUCUUAAUCUUUUCGGGCCAUUUUACAUUUUCGUUCAUAAUCAAAUUAGGGAACAACUACGGAAUUGAGUACCUCAUUAUCACAAUGCCAUAGUAAAAUUAUGGUCUUGCACAUAGUCACAUAUCACAUACCGAGGCCAUAGCCCAGCCAUGGUCUUAUACGGAUGACAUAUCACACUGAUGCCAUAUCCCAGAUAUGGUCUUAUACAGUAGCACAUAUCACACCGAUGCCAUAUCCCGGAUAUGGUCUUAUACGGAAGCACAAAUCACAUUUCUCCGAAGCCAUAGCCCAGCUAUGGUCUUAUACGGAAAUCACAUUUCACAUGCUGCCAUGGUCUAACCAUGGUCUUUUCCGUCAAUUCGUCUUAGCCACUGAAUGAAAGUACUCAAGUCCGUUGUUCCAUUUAAUUUGUACUUUUAUUCAAAUAUCAUUUUACAAUUAUCACAGUUUAAUGACAUUUUAUAUACAAUAAUAUACUAUAUCAUUCAUGAAAUUUUCAUUUCAAAACAUUAAAUUACACAUUGCAUUAUUAAAAAUCAUAUGAACUUACCUCGAUAUAAAAUAUUAGCAAUCGAGCCUAUUCCUCGUAAACUUUAUUUUUCCCUCGAUCACGACUUGAAUCUCGUUUCUCUUGAUAUGGUGUAAAAAUAUGAAAAACCAGCAUAGGAGACCUGGUACGACGUUUCU